CAAUAGUGUAUAUUAACGUUGUUGCAGUUAAAAGGCUCGUAGUCGAACCUAUGGCCACGUGAACCCGUCCCACUGCCUUGCGCAGCGGUCGUCGGAGUGCUCAGGCCAUCCUGUUGGAGAGCGCCUCUGCUCUUGAUUGAGUGGUUGCGUGAUCCAACUCCUUUACUGUGAGUAAAUCAAAGUGUUCAAAGCAGGCUUCACGCUUGUAUGCAUUAGCAUGGAAUAAUAAGAUAGGGCUUCGGUUCUAUUUUGUUGGCUUCUGGAACCAAAGUAAUGAUUGAAAGGGAUAGUUGGGGGUGCUAGUAUUUGACGGUAAGCGGUGAAAUGCUCAGACCCGUUAAAGACUGACUUAUGCGAAAGCAUUCACCAAGGAUAUCUNCUUUGA
rnacentral:rRNA from 1 species